AAGGUGACAGCGUCCGGAUGGCAGCGCUGCCUGUUCAAGCCGGCCGAACCCUCGCCCCCGCCCGACACUCACUGACGGACUCCACUGUCUCCAGCCGCCCGCGCGCGGCAGCCCCGGAGCAGGCGGCCUCCGACGCGGCCGAAAGGUACCAGACGGGUAGACUCCUGUCAUGCCAACAAAUUUGCGGACAGAGUGAGAGAAGAAACUACAGAUGCAAAAUACACAAGAAAAUGCCUUCCUAAAGGUUCCAACCUUACGCUGCCAAGCCUGAGGACACAUUGUCAUGAUGCCCACACCUGUUCCACUCGAAUCUAACCACAGCAUUCUGGCAAUGGUGGGCUUUCACCAGUGACACAGGAUAAGGAGCAAUAUAUUCAGUUCCCAAGAG
ensembl:antisense Gm16272 predicted gene 16272